rnacentral:tRNA from 1 species
GUCCGCGUAGCUCAGCAGGAUAGAGCACAGGAUUCCUGGUUGACGUGAAUUGGGCGCCGCGAGGGGAAACCACGCGGUGGAUCCGCUUAAAUUCGGGGAACGCUCUGGGGGCCGCGAGGUCCUCGUGCCGAUCCCGAGCCAAGCCGCGAUCCCGAAAGGGCGCGGAAGGUGUAGAGACUGGUAGGGCGGCGCCUAAGGCCAUUCGUGGCUAUGGCGAAGGGACAGUCCAGACCACGAACGCAGGGCCAGCCGGCCCUGCGGCGGCGAAAGCCGAAGUGGAUUGAAUCCUGGGGCCGUGGGUUCGAAUCCCGCCGCGGACA